CCAUGCCGUGAUCGCGACUCAGGGCCAAAACACUUCUACCGCUCUUCAGCUCUUUACCCGACCGGGGGAAGGGGGCAAAAACAUCACCACCACCACCACCACUACUAUCAUCAUCUUCAAAAACAACAACAACAACAACAACAACAACAACACGAACACCACACGCUGACGCUUAAGCAAGGGGGCCGAAAGGAACGCGGCGCGGGUGUGUAUCGGAAACACCAUGAAGAUUAUUUCCUCGAUUCUAACUCAUCCACUCUUCCGAGGCACCCUUCGGCUCCUGCUUUGCUUACUGUGGAUUGGAUAUUCCCGAGGAACCACGCAUGUGUUAAGAUUCGGUGCCUUGGAAAUUUUCUUCCUCUACUAAGUGAGCCUUUGAAGUUUACUUUGCUGCUCAGAAUCUACAUUGAUAUUGCUCCUUCCCCAAGCCACCCUUCAACAACCAUUCAUGGGAUUUCAAGAGCUGUGCUGGGCCAACUGGCAGGAACACCCGCCCUGAAGUGCCACUACAUUUCCUUGAGAUAAUUUUGCAACACGAAUCAGUGUGUCUCAGAGCUCCAGCUGUGUCUUCCGUACUUGAAAGCAUAAGAGUGUUUCUUUUAUUUUUUAGACAAUUGCUCAUACCCCAGGUUCCCUGAUAAAUAUAUAGGGUCACACAAGAAGUAACACACUUAUGCCUGGGGUCUUUCUGACCCUUUCCCCUGCAUGCAACCCUUGAUCUACUUUGGAAGACCCCUCCAGUCAUCUGAGGCAAACUUGUAAGUGCCCAGGGGAGUGCAAUAGACUGAUGGAAUUGUCUUCCUUUCUGCUCUGGUGAUAGGAUAGAUAGAUAGAUAGAUAGAUAGAUAGAUAGAUAGAUAGAUAGAUAGAUAGAUAGAUAGAUAGAUAGAUAGAUAGAUAGAUAGAUAGAUAGAUAGAUAGAUAGAUAGAUAGAUAGAUAGAUUUCUACAGUUUCAAAGGAGACACCUAGAAAUUAGCAAGAUGGUGACAGACCUGCAAAUUGAGGCCAUUCCUCUGGUUCAUUUUGUGCAAAACUGAACACAAUUAAGUGCCAUAAAAUUGCAAGCACUAUAUUUUGCUUGUUAAAAGAAGUGAACUUCCAAUUGAGGAAGGCAAAGUCAUGCAAAUACAAUUUGCAUACAUAUUAAUAUUGCAUGCAAAAGAGGUGCUUUAUAUUGGAGAUGCGGAAUCCCCAGAGCUAUUCAGGUCCCCUGGCAGUAGUGAUAGGAGCUCAGGUCUUUGAAUUGUGGCAUAAUAAUCAAAUAGAAAAGCUGAAGACUCUUUUAAAUAGGGCCAAUGUGAAUUGUGUUUAUUUAUUUAUUUAAAAUUGUAGCUCUUCUUUUCAGCUGGUAGUUUAUUGAAUGAGAAAUAUAUAUUGACAAGGAUAGUCUGGAAUGGUUGGCAGAAUGUUUUUAAAGCCAAAGAUACACAGCUAAGGGCAUUUUUUGGAAAAAGAAUAAAGACAGAGAAGGCAAGACA
rnacentral:lncRNA from 1 species